rnacentral:rRNA from 1 species
CCUACGGGAGGCAGCAGUAGGGAAUAUUGGUCAAUGGGCGAAAGCCUGAACCAGCAACGCCGCGUGCGCGAUGAAGGCCUUCGGGUCGUAAAGCGCUUUUGGGAGGGAUGAAAAUGACAGUACCUCCCGAAUAAGGAUCGGCUAACUACGUGCCAGCAGCCGCGGUAAGACGUAGGAUCCAAGCGUUAUCCGGAAUUACUGGGCGUAAAGGGCGUGUAGGAGGUUGGGCAAGUCGGCCAUGAAAGCUCCCGGCUCAACUGGGAGAGGCUGGUCGAUACUGCCUGGCUAGAGGGCAAGAGAGGGAGGUGGAAUUCCCGGUGUAGUGGUGAAAUGCGUAGAUAUCGGGAGGAACACCAGUGGCGAAGGCGGCCUCCUGGCUUGUACCUGACUCUGAAACGCGAAAGCAUGGGUAGCAAACAGGAUUAGAAAUCCUGGUAGUCCAUGCCAUAAACGAUGUCAACUGGGUGUCGGCGAAGUAAAAUUGUCGGUGCCGAAGCUAACGCGUUAAGUUGACCGCCUGAGGACUACGAUCGCAAGAUUAAAACUCAAAGAGUAUACGCGNGAGAGAGCGACGACGACGACGACGGAGGAGAG